UACAUUAUAUAUAUUAAUUAUAUACAUAUUAUAUCAUUUAAUCCUCACAGCAACCUUAUAUGGUGGGCAUUCUCUGAUCCAGAUUUUACAGAUGAAGAGGCUGAGGUACAGAAAAGUGACACACACCCAUGGUGAUACAGACUCACAGUUACUUGUCGCAGAUCAUACAGCUACUAAAUCUGCAAUCUGCAAGAUGAUCUCCUGGAGAGAAUAAUUCUAAGGAUGGCAGAGGAAACAGGAUUGGGCUAGAGAAGAAAAAUAGGUCCAGAGUCUGAAGAGCUGCCUAGGACCUCAGAAUGGCCCAUUUCCAUAAUGUUUUUGAGAAGCAAGUUAUGAGGAGGAUCCUGAAGAGGUAGAU
rnacentral:lncRNA from 1 species